CCUACGGGGGGCAGCAGUGGGGAAUAUUGCACAAUGGGGGAAACCCUGAUGCAGCGACGCCGCGUGAGUGAAGAAGUAUUUCGGUACGUAAAGCUCUAUCAGCCGGGAAGAAAAAAAGUCCUUUGGACUUUGGACGGUACCUGACCAAGAAGCCCCGGCUAACUACGUGCCCGCAGCCGCGGUAAUACGUAGGGGGCAAGCGUUAUCCGGAUUUACUUGGUGUAAAGGGAGCGUAGACGGCAGCGAAAGUCUGGAGUGAAAUGCCGGGGCCCAAGCCCGGAACUGCUUUGGAAACUGUGCAGCUGGAGUGCAGGAGAGGUAAGCGGAAUUCCUAGUGUAGCGGUGAAAUGCGUAGAUAUUAGGAGGAACACCAGUUGCGAAGGCGGCUUACUGGACUGUAACUGACGUUGAGGCUCGAAAGCGUGGGGAGCAAACAGGAUUAGAUACCCGAGUAGUC
rnacentral:rRNA from 1 species